rnacentral:rRNA from 1 species
GAAUAUUGCACAAUGGGCGAAAGCCUGAUGCAGCGACGCCGCGUGGAGGAUGAAGGCUUUCGGGUCGUAAACUCCUGUCUGGGGGGAUGAAUACUGACAGUACCCCCGGAGGAAGCCCCGGCUAACUACGUGCCAGCAGCCGCGGUAAUACGUAGGGGGCGAGCGUUGUCCGGAAUUACUGGGCGUAAAGCGCGCGCAGGUGGCUUGUUAAGUCAGGUGUCAAAAUGCGGGGCUCAACCCCGUACCGCACUUGAAACUGGCAGGCUUGAGUGCAGGAGAGGAAAGUGGAAUUCCUAGUGUAGCGGUGAAAUGCGUAGAUAUUAGGAGGAACACCAGUGGCGAAGGCGACUUUCUGGACUGUAACUGACGCUGAGGCGCGAAAGCUAGGGGAGCAAACAGGAUUAGAUACCCUGGUAGUCCUAGCCGUAAACGAUGGGUACUAGGUGUUGGGGGUGACAAUCCU